AUAAAAUUUUCCCGCCGGGCCCACCCGUCAGCCUCCUUCUUUCCUCCUCCUCUCUGUUCUGCGCCGCGGCACGCACGCGUCGCCACGCGCCGGCCAUCCCCGGCUUCCGUGCCGCUCGCGUCCUCCGCUCGCCCCAUCCUCCACGACGACGCCGCGGCCUUAUCCUUCCCCGCUGCCGUGUUCUCCUUCUCCUCCCCAUCUUCCUCCUCCUGGAACUCGAGCAGAGCUCGCCCCCAUCGCCGCGCCGACGAACUCCGGCCGCCGUUCCUCGAUUUCGCGCGCCCACGGCCCCCUCACCUCGCCCUCCACCUCCUCCAGCCUCCUCGAGCUCGCUCCCGCGUUUUCCCGGCGGAAUCGAGCCCGCGCCGCCCGGCCGCCAUUGACGCUGCCGCGAGGAGCUCCGUCGGCCGCCGUCGAUUCGCCGUCUCCGGGCCGUGGCGCAGCCCUCCGCCCGCCGCCGCUGUUCGUCGUCGCGCCGCCCCGUCGUCGCUCCUCUCCGCCCGUGCCGUUGUUGGUGAGCUUUGCCGUCGCCUGGAACAUGCCUUGCGUGCGCCUCCGGCCCCUCUCCAGCCCUGCUUCGCCGCGCCGCCGUCCGCCGUGUCGCGCGCGUCGUGGGUCUGUUCGUGGACAUGAAGAAGAUGAGCAGUGUGACUGAACCGUCGGAGGUCGAACCCGUGGAGCCCACCGAGUCCGUGGAGCCUGAACCCG